UGGGAAAGGAAAGGAAAGCGGGAGGGAGGAAGGAAGGAAGAAAAGAGGGAAGAGGAAGGAAGAAAGAGAAAGAGAGAGAGCAAGAGAAGACCCCGAGCCGACGUGGACCGGGAUGGCUGUGAACGCAGGUGUCCAGCACAGGCCUGGACUGGGCGUAUCCCUGGUCAAUAUACUUUACGAGAGACAGUGACAAGCUGGAGUUUUCCAGAGUAAGAGUGAAAUACUGCGUAAAUCACUGCGGGAAGAGUCCCCGAUGCACCGUGAGUUGGAAGAAGCCGGUUAUGCAACAGUAUGCUUGGCGCGUUCUCGUGUUCUGUUUAAAAAUGCUAACAAAGAUACACUUACGAUGCAUACGUGUGCACGUAUGUGUAUCCGUAUCAAGAAAUGAAUGAGAUAUGCUGUUUCAGAGGUCGGGCAAUUUGUAAAACUUAUAUUUUCAGUUUACAAAACUGAAUUUUCUUUCAUCUCUCCAUCUAAAUUCACCUUAGAACAGGAGCACCCUACUUCUCUGAGGGUGGAAAAACAGAAAACUUGCCACCUCAGGGCACUUCAUCAUUUUUGGCCUGAACUUUGAUCUUUAGGGCGAAAGGACAGUUGACCGAAGGUUGUCACCGUGACACUCUCUCCACGAGGUGGCCGGGGUGGGUUGCGUAUCUGGUCAAAGAGUGUCUGCUGGCUCCAUCCGUCACGGACCUCCCGCGGCUGGGUGGGGAGGGGAGCCACCCUACUCUUGGUCCAGGUGGACCUAGCAUGAUGUGUGUGCCCACACAGGGGUCUCUGCCAGGCAGAGAUGUAGAUUUCCCAGGGCCACGAUGGUUUCACACUGCUUUCCUGUUGCAGAAGCAUCUCAGAGGAGUGGCCUCAUCUUCUCUCUCUCUCUGACAGUCCUGUAUGAGGCACUACUGUCUGCUUUCACCCCCAAGCUGACCAUUGACCCUUUGCAGGUGACAGAGAGAGCCUGGGUCCUUUUCCUUGGCCCUGGGCCCUCAGGGAGUUGAUGAUUAUUGAUGGUGAUGGAGUAGUCUACCCUCUCGUUCUUAACUGGUGAGGGAGACACUUUGGCCAGAGCUCUGCCUUCGGGAAUCUGAAAUCAAGGGGAAAGCCCCAGCCCCUAUAUUCAGAGUCACCUUUAAUCUCCAGGGAGGGGCUAUCCAUCCCUGUAGAGGGGGAGGGGCACAUGGUUCUUACCCUUCUUCUUUCUAACCAAGGACUCCCUGCUCCCGCAGCCCUCCUCUGUCAUCACUGUAUGUACAGUACUGCACUGUAUGAAUUGAUCACAAGACAUUCAAGGACAUGAGGGUUGUUCCCCAUUUUUUUUCUAAUACAAACUGUGCUUCUUGAACAUUCUUGUGCAUGUCUCCUGAGACAUAGCUGCAGGAGUUUCUCUAGGAUUGUUGGAUGAUAAAGAAUUUGUAUACAUCUAGUCUUUUCCAUGAUAGGUUAUUACAAGGUAUUGAAUCUAGUUCCCU